CAGGGCAUAGUUUAGAUAGAAUUCCGGCUUUGGGGGCCGGUGGUAGAGGUUAAAAUCCUUUUGCCCUGA
rnacentral:tRNA from 1 species